UGACGCGAGAGCCUGAUGCAGCGACGCCGCGUGAGGGACGAAUGCCUUCGGGUUGUAAACCUCUUUCAGCAGGGAAGAAGCGAAAGUGACGGUACCUGCAGAAGAAGCGCCGGCUAACUACGUGCCAGCAGCCGCGGUAAUACGUAGGGCGCAAGCGUUAUCCGGAAUUAUUGGGCGUAAAGAGCUCGUAGGCGGUUUGUCGCGUCUGCUGUGAAAGCCCGGGGCUCAACCCCGGGUCUGCAGUGGGUACGGGCAGACUAGAGUGCAGUAGGGGAGACUGGAAUUCCUGGUGUAGCGGUGAAAUGCGCAAAUAUCAGGAGGAACACCGAUGGCGAAGGCAGGUCUCUGGGCUGUAACUGACGCUGAGGAGCGAAAGCAUGGGGAGCGAACAGGAUUAGAUACCCUGGUAGUCCAUGCCGUAAACGUUGGGCACUAGGUGUGGGGGACAUUCCACGUUUUCCGCGCCGUAGCUAACGCAUUAAGUGCCCCGCCUGGGGAGUACGGCCGCAAGGCUAAAACUCAAAUGAAAUUGACGG
rnacentral:rRNA from 1 species